rnacentral:rRNA from 1 species
GUGGGGAAUAUUGGACAAUGGGCGCAAGCCUGAUCCAGCCAUGCCGCGUGAGUGAUGAAGGCCUUAGGGUUGUAAAGCUCUUUUGUCCGGGAAGAUAAUGACUGUACCGGAAGAAUAAGCCCCGGCUAACUUCGUGCCAGCAGCCGCGGUAAUACGAAGGGGGCUAGCGUUGCUCGGAAUCACUGGGCGUAAAGGGCGCGUAGGCGGACUCUUAAGUCGGGGGUGAAAGCCCAGGGCUCAACCCUGGAAUUGCCUUCGAUACUGGGAGUCUUGAGUUCGGAAGAGGUUGGUGGAACUGCGAGUGUAGAGGUGAAAUUCGUAGAUAUUCGCAAGAACACCAGUGGCGAAGGCGGCCAACUGGUCCGAUACUGACGCUGAGGCGCGAAAGCGUGGGGAGCAAACAGGAUUAGAAACCCCAGUAGUCC